GACGGGAGGAGGGGAAUUGAGGCUCUGGAAAGUAAAAGCAGCCAUUACUUUUCGGAUGAUGCAGCUUGUCCCACAGCUGGGGAGAGCAUUUGAAUACACUCCCCCACCUGCUGAGCAAGCGAACACAUUUUCAAACAUAUUGAACAGGGACUCCAGCAUGACGCUGCUGAGAUGCAGCCAGGAAGGAGUCUCCAAGAACGAAUCACAUGAUGCAGGGCUACUCCCAGCAGGGCUCCGUCCCAUCUGCAUCUUGGCAACAUGUUGA
rnacentral:lncRNA from 11 species